CCUACGGGUGGCAGCAGUCGAGAAUCAUUCACAAUGGGGGAAACCCUGAUGGUGCGACGCCGCGUGGGGGAAUGAAGGUCUUCGGAUUGUAAACCCCUGUCAUGUGGGAGCAAAUUAAAAAGAUAGUACCACAAGAGGAAGAGACGGCUAACUCUGUGCCAGCAGCCGCGGUAAUACAGAGGUCUCAAGCGUUGUUCGGAAUCACUGGGCGUAAAGCGUGCGUAGGCUGUUUCGUAAGUCGUGUGUGAAAGGCGCGGGCUCAACCCGCGGACGGCACAUGAUACUGCGAGACUAGAGUAAUGGAGGGGGAACCGGAAGUCUCGGUGUAGCAGUGAAAUGCGUAGAUAUCGAGAGGAACACUCGUGGCGAAGGCGGGUUACUGGACAGUAACUGACGCUGAGGCACGAAGGCCAGGGGAGCGAAAGGGAUUAGAUACCCCAGUAGUC
rnacentral:rRNA from 1 species